rnacentral:rRNA from 1 species
GGUUGUAAACUUCUUUUACCAGGGACGAAGAAAGUGACGGUACCUGGAGAAAAAGCUCCGGCUAACUACGUGCCAGCAGCCGCGGUAAUACGUAGGGAGCAAGCGUUGUCCGGAUUUACUGGGUGUAAAGGGCGUGUAGGCGGAGUUACAAGUCAGAUGUGAAAUCUGGGGGCUCAACCCCCAAACUGCAUUUGAAACUGUAGCCCUUGAGUAUCGGAGAGGCAGGCGGAAUUCCUAGUGUAGCGGUGAAAUGCGUAGAUAUUAGGAGGAACACCAGUGGCGAAGGCGGCCUGCUGGACGACAACUGACGCUGAGGCGCGAAAGCGUGGGGAGCAAACAGGAUUAGAUACCCUGGUAGUCCACGCUGUAAACGAUGAAUACUAGGUGUGGGGGGACUGACCCCUUCCGUGCCGCAGUUAACACAAUAAGUAUUCCACCUGGGGAGUACGACCGCAAGGUUGAAACUCAAAGGAAUUGACGGGGGCCCGCACAAGCAGUGGAUUAUGUGGUUUAAUUCGACGCAACGCGAAGAACCUUACCGGGAUUUGACAUCCUACUAACGAAGCAGAGAUGCAUUAGGUGCCCUUCGGGGAAAGUAGAGACAGGUGGUGCAUGGUUGUCGUCAGCUCGUGUCGUGAGAUGUUGGGUUAAGUCCCGCAACGAGCGCAACCCUUAUGGUUAGUUGCUACGCAAGAGCACUCUAGCCAGACUGCCGUUGACAAAACGGAGGAAGGCGGGGACGACGUCAAAUCAUCAUGCCCCUUAUGUCCCGGGCUACACACGUAAUACAAUGGCGGUAAACAGAGCGAAGCAAGACUGCGAAGUGGAGCAAAUCGCUAAAAGCCGUCUCAGUUCGGAUUGCAGGCUGCAACUCGCCUGCAUGAAGUGGAAUUGCUAGUAAU